rfam:Vittaforma corneae ATCC 50505 unplaced genomic scaffold supercont1.13, whole genome shotgun sequence.
GCCACCAUCGUAUAACGGUUAGUACGUCAGUCUCAUAAUCUGAAGACGCGAGUUCGACUCUCGCUGGAGGCA